GGCGAACGCUGGCGGCGUGCUUAACACAUGCAAGUCGAACGGAAGGGCCCUGCUUUUGUGGGGUGCUCGAGUGGCGAACGGGUGAGUAACACGUGAGUAACCUGCCCUUGACUUUGGGAUAACUUCAGGAAACUGGGGCUAAUACCGGAUAGGAGCUCCUGCUGCAUGGUGGGGGUUGGAAAGUUUCGGCGGUUGGGGAUGGACUCGCGGCUUAUCAGCUUGUUGGUGGGGUAGUGGCUUACCAAGGCUUUGACGGGUAGCCGGCCUGAGAGGGUGACCGGCCACAUUGGGACUGAGAUACGGCCCAGACUCCUACGGGAGGCAGCAGUGGGGAAUAUUGCACAAUGGGCGGAAGCCUGAUGCAGCAACGCCGCGUGCGGGAUGACGGCCUUCGGGUUGUAAACCGCUUUCGCCUGUGACGAAGCGUGAGUGACGGUAAUGGGUAAAGAAGCACCGGCUAACUACGUG
rnacentral:rRNA from 1 species